rnacentral:antisense_RNA from 1 species
GCGGAGAGGCAGGCAGGUCUAGAUGCAGAUGGUCUGUUUCCCCUAACAACAGCAAGGGCGGCGAGGAGAAAUCCUUGUCUCCGCCAGCUCCCGGCCAGACUCGUAAUCAGGCCACUAAUGACAGCGGGGAGCGUAAAAGUUCUCUUCCCUACCCACCUCACGUGAUGCGGUGACACAGAACGAAAUUCACAACACACAUGGAGAAAAGGAAAACAACCAAUCCUUCCCCAGAAUGGAACAGCUAAGAGCCAACGCUACUGAAAAGCAUGGGGCAGGCAUCUCCACUGAGUGCCAGGAAGAAGCCAGGUGAAGACCCAGGAAAUAAAUCAAAAAAGGGACAGCCUUUGAGCUGGUCCCUGACCAAGAAUUCCACAUAAGAGAUUCCAUUUACCUACUUUAAUAACAUGAAUCGCAAAACUCUUAUUC